rnacentral:rRNA from 1 species
AUCAUGCAGUCGAACGCUUCUUUUUCCACCGGAGCUUGCUCCACCGGAAAAAGAAGAGUGGCGAACGGGUGAGUAACACGUGGGUAACCUGCCCAUCAGAAGGGGAUAACACUUGGAAACAGGUGCUAAUACCGUAUAACAAUCAAAACCGCAUGGUUUUGAUUUGAAAGGCGCUUUCGGGUGUCGCUGAUGGAUGGACCCGCGGUGCAUUAGCUAGUUGGUGAGGUAACGGCUCACCAAGGCCACGAUGCAUAGCCGACCUGAGAGGGUGAUCGGCCACAUUGGGACUGAGACACGGCCCAAACUCCUACGGGAGGCAGCAGUAGGGAAUCUUCGGCAAUGGACGAAAGUCUGACCGAGCAACGCCGCGUGAGUGAAGAAGGUUUUCGGAUCGUAAAACUCUGUUGUUAGAGAAGAACAAGGAUGAGAGUAACUGUUCAUCCCUUGACGGUAUCUAACCAGAAAGCCACGGCUAACUACGUGCCAGCAGCCGCGGUAAUACGUAGGUGGCAAGCGUUGUCCGGAUUUAUUGGGCGUAAAGCGAGCGCAGGCGGUUUCUUAAGUCUGAUGUGAAAGCCCCCGGCUCAACCGGGGAGGGUCAUUGGAAACUGGGAGACUUGAGUGCAGAAGAGGAGAGUGGAAUUCCAUGUGUAGCGGUGAAAAUGCGUAGAUAUAUGGAGGAACACCAGUGGCGAAGGCGGCUCUCUGGUCUGUAACUGACGCUGAGGCUCGAAAGCGUGGGGAGCAAACAGGAUUAGAUACCCCUGGGUAGUCCACGCCGUAAACGAUGAGUGCUAAGUGUUGGAGGGUUUCCGCCCUUCAGUGCUGCAGCUAACGCAUUAAGCACUCCGCCUGGGGAGUACGACCGCA